ensembl:lncRNA
AUGGACACAGAAAGUACAGCAAGUAGAAAAUCCUUUACUGAUGGCCUCCCCUCCCAUUUCCAAAUCUUUGGGGCUUUAUUGUUGCUGAUCGCAUACGCCAAGGAAAACCAAGCAUAUUUCCUGCUGGAAGGAGCUGCUAGUGCCUCACUGUCUGCCAAGCUGUGGGAUCUGUGCCCUCAGCAAUGCCAGUUCCCUGCCAUGAAAUGUCUUCGCUGCAACCUCCACCACCCAGCAGGAGCCAACGGGCUGUGGCUGCACCGUCUAUGGGUGUUUUUGUUCUUGAAUAAUUAAAGCCAUUUUACACCAAGGGUGAUCCAUAAAGGAAGGCAUUUUGCAUGUGAAAAGCUGUAAAGGGUGGAAGACGGUGGGGUAUCGGCAGUCAGCAGAGAGCAACUGAGACUGGUAAUGCUACAGUAAGCUGCCUCCUUUGUGCAGCUCUACAGGAUCAUGGAAAGAGGCCAAUUGCUGGAUUUCAGUGCUUUAUCUUGAUUAAAUGGCUGUUUCAAUUUGGUAUUCACUCCUUUCAUGUUUGUAAUCACUUUAAGAUUUUCAUUUUAUAGUAUUUGCUUAUUUAACUGCUUGUUUCCUGCCAAGUCUAAAAAAAGAAAGGCUUUUCCCUCCCUUCUCCUUUCACAGUUUCAAUAAAGGCAAGAGCUUACACAAAAUUACUUCUAUAUUUAAAGGUUGCUGAUGUAAAUCUCUGGUUGCUUUAAAUAGUCAAAGCUGAUAGCUGUGGCAGAGAAGUAUUAAAGCCCUGUGUGAGUGCCUCCCCUCCCCAGAUGCUCAGGAAGAUUUUGGGGAUUGCUCUGAUUCCUUUUUAGGUGUGUGCUGAAUGGUUUCUACCAUUAUUGUCCCCUUGGCAAAAGUAGUGAAAUGAUUUAGGAUCCUCUGACACAAAGGCAUUGAACUGUCUGAGAUACAAGUAUCAAAGGUCUAACAGGCAGCCUCUUGUGGCCAACCCUGACCUCACCUGUCCUAGCCCAAGGAAAACUCAGAGAUCACCACUAGGAAAGAUUCCUGCAUAUGCAAAUGUUAUCUCUCAGCUCACCUAGGAUGUAUUUUUAAGCCUAACAGCUAGGACCAGACCCAUGCAGCUCAUCUUGCCCCUCCCCAGAAUUGCACCAUGUUCUAAAAUGGGUUUAACUACUGCAUUUUGAGGACAAAUAGCGUUUGUAUUGCUAAGGGGCUAACUAGCUUGUGAAUCCAGUCUUAGAGAAACUUGUUAUGAAACACUUUUCCUUUCUUGUUCUGCACUGCUAACUGGUUUUAGUACAGAUAGGGAAGGGAAAGGCAGGCAGACAGGCCAAACAGUGCACUUGCAGGAAAAUGAAACUGGUCCACAAACUUGGCUGGGUGCAAAAAAUUACUGAAGGAGAAGGCAGAUGGGACACGGGCCUGCAGUAGGUAAUCCACAGGCAGUAGGGGUUAAUCCAGACAGUGGGGGUGCUAAAGAUUCCUGUUGCCUGCACUCAGUUGCAGAGCUGUAGUGUGGGUUUUACUAGACCAGUUCCUAGCAUAUGUGGAUAUGAGAGUCUACUAGGCUGGUGGGGAAGUGACUGCCCAAAGAAACUGAUGGUCUCAUGUUAGAUAUGCUGCUUGAUCAAAUAAGGGACAGAUAAUACAAAGAGAAAUUUAAAAUCUACAGAAAGAGUAGUCCAGCUAGAAAUGCUAGGGUCCAAGGGCUCCUUACAAUGUUUGGGUUUUUCCCUUUCAAAAAGCUGUAAUGCAUUUAUGGCCCUGGUGAUCUCUGAGAGCUGGCAAACUCUCCCAAUCCGUUGUAUGGAUUUUCUUUAGCCUUCUAAAUCUCAGUGAUAUGAAUCAAUCAUAUGUGAGCAGCUCUGUAAAAAUAUCACGUUCUUUCCGCUAUGUUUCACCCAUCAUUCCUGUCCUGGUUUCAGUUAGGAGAGAGUUAAUUUUCCUCCUAGUAGCUGGUAGGGUGCUACAUUUUAGAUUAGGAUGAGAAGAGUGCUGAUAACAUGCUGAUGUUUUAGUUGUUGCAUAGCAGUGCUUACACCAAGACAAGGACGUUUCAGCUUCUUGCUCUGACCAGCCAGCAGGCAGGCUGGGGAUGCAGCAAGAGCUGGGAGGGGACAGACCCAGCACAGCUGACCCAAACUGGCCACAGGGGUAUUCCAUACCAUCUGGGGUCAUGCUAAACAGUAUUUAGGGGUGGCUGACUGGGGUGGGGGGGCUGGCUGCUCAGGGUUAGGCUGGGCACAUUGGUCAGCGGGUGGUUAGCUAUUGCAUUGUGCAUCCCUUGUUUUGUAUUUUUAUCUAAUUAUUAUUAUUAUUAUUAUUAUUAUUAUUAUUAUUAUUAUUAUUAUUAUUAUUAUUAUUAUUAUUAUUACAUUAUCUGUGCUAAUAAACUGUCUUUAUCUCAACUCACAGGCUUCACUUUCCCAUUUCUCUUCCCCAUCCCAGAGAGGGAGGGGGGAGGGUGAGCGAACGGCUGUGUGGUGUUUAGCUGCCGGCCGGGUUAAACCACAACAAUUCCCUUCUCCGAUCAAUAGAAAAAAAGCCAAUUUCAAUCUUCAUUCAUAAUUGGUACAGAAAAAAAGUUUGAUGUUUGAAAAGAAAGUUUCCAUAAUUUCUCCAUAACCUCAACCCUCCCCCCAUUCCUCCAAAUACCCAGUUUCAGACCGGAUCUGGUAAUAAGAGAGGUCUGGCAAGAAGACACUGGUUCUCAUGAGGUUUCUGACAUCGCAGGAAACAUGACCAUCCUUGCCUUUUGUCAUAACUGAAAAGCCUCAUGGGAUGUGUUUGAGCAGAAAAACCUUCUGAGACUUGCAGAGUUGGAAGAGCUGAAUGGCCAAGCAAAAUCUUGACCAUUUCAGCAGCACAGUCACCUCUUGCUCAGAGGAGACAUCAUAUCUUCAUCUCCAUUUCACACAACUCAGCUCCCUGCCAGUUCUUUUCCAGUUCUGCAGAGUGGCAUAAGGCUUCAUUACAUCAGACCCCCAGGAAACUGUAACCUGUGCUUUAUACCAUGUGUAGGCUGCAGGGGUUGCCAGUGAGAAGAUAAAUGUUUAAAGAGUCUAUGGGAUUUGAAGGAUGUUUUGAUUUAGAGACAGAAGUUCUGGAUUUUCACGUCUCUUUCUGGCACUGCAAGCAACGCAAAAAGCAUAGACAUACUGUAGCAUCUCCAAAUCUGGGUGACCUCAGCGUCACUUGUAACCAUUAAUGAAUUCCCCAACCUUUCUGCACACCAGAGAUUUGACUUUGCUGUGAUUUUUGAGCCAG